rnacentral:rRNA from 1 species
GAAUCCUUCACCAUCUCGGUGACAGGAAAUGUGNNNNUUAGGCCGUACCUUGUCCCGACACGUCUCUCCUCAAGUCCACUUGAUUGUGGCCCCAGGCCCAGAGAGGGUGUAAGGCCCGUGGAGGCGAGACGUUCGGUACCUGGUGCGUCCUUAGAGUCGGGUUGUUUGGGAAUGCAGCCCUAAGCGGGUGGUAAACUCCAUCCAAGGCUAAAUACCAGCACGAGUCCGAUAGCGAAGAAGUACCGCGAGGGAAGGUUGAAAAGAACUUUGAAGAGAGAGUUCAAGAGUACGUGAAACCGCUGAGAGGCAAACUGGUGGAACUGAAAUGGUCCCGAGGAAUUCAGCCGUUGGUCGUUGCACAGUCUUUGGUGAUUGAUCUAACGACGGCGCCAUUGAAUGACGUUUCGAUCAUCGGUGCACUUUCCUCGCCUGGGCCCGACCACGACCGGUGAGCUGAUCUGUCUGUCGUGCUUGGAAGAUAGCGCCGUCUUCGGAAGGCGUGUUAUAGACAGGCAUACGGAGCAGUCGGCGCACUGGAUGAUAGUGCCUGCCCAUCUGGGCUCAUAUGGUGGUUGUUUUGUUGGCGAGUUCUGAUGUCACUACUUCGGUAGAGUCGUUAGACUCUGUUGGCAUUAUGGCUGUCCUCUAUGAUUGGCACUGUUAAGUCUGUGGUUGUGAAGUAGGUAGUCCACCUGACCCGUCUUGAAACACGGACCAAGGAGUCUAACAUGUGCGCGAGUCAUUGGGUUCACGAAACCUAAAGGCGCAGUGAAGGUAAAGAUCUGUUUUGGCAGAUUGAGGUGGGAUGCCGGGUUACGCGCCCGGCCGCACUACCGGCCCGUUCUAUAUGUCUUUCAUAGGAGCGGAGCAAGANNGNACACGUUGGGACCCGAAAGAUGGUGAACUAUGCUUGCGCA